CAGUGAAAUUGAACUCGCUGUGAAGAUGCAGUGUACCCGCGGCAAGACGGAAAGACCCCGUGAACCUUUACUAUAGCUUGACACUGAACAUUGAGCCUUGAUGUGUAGGAUAGGUGGGAGGCUUUGAAGUGUGGACGCCAGUCUGCAUGGAGCCGACCUUGAAAUACCACCCUUUAAUGUUUGAUGUUCUAACGUGGACCCGUGAUCCGGGUUGCGGACAGUGUCUGGUGGGUAGUUUGACUGGGGCGGUCUCCUCCUAAAGAGUAACGGAGGAGCACGAAGGUUGGCUAAUCCUGGUCGGACAUCAGGAGGUUAGUGCAAUGGCAUAAGCCAGCUUGACUGCGAGCGUGACGGCGCGAGCAGGUGCGAAAGCAGGUCAUAGUGAUCCGGUGGUUCUGAAUGGAAGGGCCAUCGCUCAACGGAUAAAAGGUACUCCGGGGAUAACAGGCUGAUACCGCCCAAGAGUUCAUAUCGACGGCGGUGUUUGGCACCUCGAUGUCGGCUCAUCACAUCCUGGGGCUGAAGUAGGUCCCAAGGGUAUGGCUGUUCGCCAUUUAAAGUGGUACGCGAGCUGGGUUUAGAACGUCGUGAGACAGUUCGGUCCCUAUCUGCCGUGGGCGCUGGAGAACUGAGGGGGGCUGCUCCUAGUACGAGAGGACCGGAGUGGACGCAUCACUGGUGUUCGGGUUGUCAUGCCAAUGGCACUGCCCGGUAGCUAAAUGCGGAAGAGAUAAGUGCUGAAAGCAUCUAAGCACGAAACUUGCCCCGAGAUGAGUUCUCCCUGAGACUUUAGGUCUCCUGAAGGAACGUUGAAGACGACGACGUUGAUAGGCCGGGUGUGUAAGCGCAGCGAUGCGUUGAGCUAACCGGUACUAAUGAACCGUGAGGCUUAACCUUACA
rnacentral:rRNA from 1 species